AUUGAACGCUGGCGGCAUGCUUUACACAUGCAAGUCGAACGGUGACAGGCCUUCGGGUGCUGACGAGUGGCGAACGGGUGAGUAAUGCAUCGGAACGUGCCCAGAGGUGGGGGAUAACGCAGCGAAAGCUGUGCUAAUACCGCAUGUGAUCUGAGGAUGAAAGCGGGGGACCAGGCAGCAAUGUUUGGCCUCGCGCCUUUGGAGCGGCCGAUGUCAGAUUAGGUAGUUGGUGGGGUAAAGGCCUACCAAGCCGACGAUCUGUAGCUGGUCUGAGAGGACGACCAGCCACACUGGGACUGAGACACGGCCCAGACUCCUACGGGAGGCAGCAGUGGGGAAUUUUGGACAAUGGGCGCAAGCCUGAUCCAGCAAUGCCGCGUGCGGGAAGAAGGCCUUCGGGUUGUAAACCGCUUUUGUACGGAACGAAAAGGCUCUGGCUAAUACCUGGGGCUGAUGACGGUACCGUAAGAAUAAGCACCGGCUAACUACGUG
rnacentral:rRNA from 1 species